GACGAACGCUGGCGGCGUGCUUAACACAUGCAAGUCGAACGGAAAGGCCCUGCUUUUGUGGGGUGCUCGAGUGGCGAACGGGUGAGUAACACGUGAGUAACCUGCCCUUGACUUUGGGAUAACUUCAGGAAACUGGGGCUAAUACCGGAUAGGAGCUCCUGCUGCAUGGUGGGGGUUGGAAAGUUUCGGCGGUUGGGGAUGGACUCGCGGCUUAUCAGCUUGUUGGCGGGGUAGUGGCUUACCAAGGCUUUGACGGGUAGCCGGCCUGAGAGGGUGACCGGCGACAUUGGGACUGAGAUACGGCCCAGACUCCUACGGGAGGCAGCAGUGGGGAAUAUUGCACAAUGGGCGGAAGCCUGAUGCAGCAACGCCGCGUGCGGGAUGACGGCCUUCGGGUUGUAAACCGCUUUCGCCUGUGACGAAGCGUGAGUGACGGUAAUGGGUAAAGAAGCACCGGCUAACUACGUG
rnacentral:rRNA from 1 species